UUAUGGGUUCCCUGGUUUUGGAUUAUUGCACAUAGCCAUCCUGAAGAUUGGCACUGAAUAGCUCUAUUUUUUCGAUUAGUUUCCCAAAAUUAUAGUUUAAAAUCUUGGUCCCUGACAGCUCCAUUUUUAGCCUUUUGAUCCUUUUUGAGAAGGAACAGAUUAGAAAAGAAGGUGAGUUGUUUUUUGGUUGUUAAGACACACACCGUAAACUAUUUUUAAUUUCAGGGGUUUUGUUUUGGGGAUUUUUGUGUUUAUUUAGUGCAAGCCUAAUAAGCUAACCAGAUUAAUUCUCUGGAGACUGCUAGAGUAUUUUCUUUGUUGACUUGGCAGACACUGCAUAUGCGAAGAACAAACUGAAUGGGAAAUGGUAUUACUUUGAUGAUAGCAACGUGUCCCUGGCCUCUGAGGAUCAGAUAGUGACUAAAGCAGCUUAUGUGCUCUUUUACCAACGUCGAGAUGAUGAAUUUUAUAAGACACCUUCACUUAGCAGUUCUGGUUCCUCUGAUGGAGGGACACGACCAAGCAGCUCUCAGCAGGGCUUGGGGGAUGAUGAGGCUUGCAGCAUGGACACCAACUGAUGCUGACUCCAUGAUCCUGCCACCUUGUAGCGCCAGUGUGAUCCCCCAGGAGAACAUCUUUGACACUCUGCAGACUGCUAGUGUUCUGUCUAAAAACCAGACAAGGGAAUACCCUUCUUUUAUGAGCAGAAGGAAAAAAAAAAA
rnacentral:sRNA from 1 species